GUGUGGACUGUGUAAUGUGUGGACUGUGUAGCGUGUGGACUGUGUAAUGUGUGGACUGUGUAGUGUGUGGACUGUGUAGUGUGUGGACUGUGUAACGUGUGGACUGUGUAACGUGUGGAAUGUGUAAUGUGUGGACUGUGUAAUGUGUGGACUGUGUAAUGUGUGGACUGUGUAGCGUGUGGACUGUGUAAUGUGUGGACUGUGUAGCGUGUGGACUGUGUAAUGUGUGGACUGUGUAACGUGUGGACUGUGUAAUGUGUGGAAUGUGUUGUGUGUGGACUGUGUAGCGUGUGGACUGUGUAAUGUGUGGACUGUGUAAUGUGUGGACUGUGUAAUGUGUGGACUGUGUAGCGUGUGGACUGUGUAGUGUGUGGACUGUGUAGUGUGUGGACUGUGUAGCGUGUGGACUGUGUAAGGUGUGGACUGUGUAGCGUGUGGACUGUGUAAGGUGUGGACUGUGUAGCGUGUGGACUGUGUAGUGUGUGGAUUGUGUAAUGUGUG
ensembl:lncRNA